UGGGGAAUAUUGCACAAUGGGCGCAAGCCUGAUGCAGCCAUGCCGCGUGUAUGAAGAAGGCCUUCGGGUUGUAAAGUACUUUCAGCGGGGAGGAAGGGGUUAAGGUUAAUAACCUUAGUCAUUGACGUUACCCGCAGAAGAAGCACCGGCUAACUCCGUGCCAGCAGCCGCGGUAAUACGGAGGGUGCAAGCGUUAAUCGGAAUUACUGGGCGUAAAGCGCACGCAGGCGGUCUGUCAAGUCGGAUGUGAAAUCCCCGGGCUCAA
rnacentral:rRNA from 1 species